rnacentral:rRNA from 1 species
UGGGGAAUUUUGGACAAUGGGGGCAACCCUGAUCCAGCAAUGCCGCGUGUGUGAAGAAGGCCUUCGGGUUGUAAGGCACUUUUGUCCGGGAAGAAAUCGCACCUGAUAAUACCGGGUGUGGAUGACGGUACCGGAAGAAUAAGGACCGGCUAACUACGUGCCAGCAGCCGCGGUAAUACGUAGGGUCCAAGCGUUAAUCGGAAUUACUGGGCGUAAAGCGUGCGCAGGCGGUUGUGCAAGACCGAUGUGAAAUCCCCGGGCUUAACCUGGGAAUUGCAUUGGUGACUGCACGGCUAGAGUGUGUCAGAGGGGGGUAGAAUUCCACGUGUAGCAGUGAAAUGCGUAGAGAUGUGGAGGAAUACCGAUGGCGAAGGCAGCCCCCUGGGAUAACACUGACGCUCAUGCACGAAAGCGUGGGGAGCAAACAGG